GACAGCAGCCGCCGCGGGAAAACGAAAGGUCCAAGCGUUACUCGGAAUUACUGGGCGUAAAGCGCGCGUAGGCGGCUUUGUAUGUCGAUUGUGAAAGCCCCGGGCUCAACCUGGGAACUGCAGUCGAAACUGCAAAGCUUGAAUGUUGGAGAGGUUGGGGGAAUACCUAGUGGGGAAGUGAAAUUCGUAGAGAUGUGGAGGAACACCGAUGGCGAAGGCAGCCCCCUGGGCCAAUACUGACGCUCAUGCACGAAAGCGUGGGGAGCAAACAGGAUUAGAUACCCCUGUAGUCCCUGUCUCUUAACA
rnacentral:rRNA from 1 species